GGCUCGCCGCGGAAGUUCUCCGAGGCGAGCUGCCCGUCACGGCCCCUGACACGAGUGGGCGACCCACGCCGUACUCCUCCCGUCCAUCGUCCCGCUGCGCGCUCGGUGCCCCCUCGGUGUCAGUGUUGGGAGCGAAGCGAUGCCGGGGGCUCGGCUGUGGAGCCCUUCCCCGGCGGCACCGCGUGGGGCGAGCUCGUUUCGGAGGAAUGGGAAUUUCUCCCUCCAUUCCCGCGGGAGAGGAGCGCGCGGCGGGCUGGGCGCUGGUGGGGCGCUCCGGUUUUCUGGCCCGUCAGAAUUACAGGGUGGUAAGGUAAAAAAAACUCUUAGCCAGGUGUUUAAAUACCGGAGAGGUGAUUUGCAAGUGAAAUUAAUCGGCAGUUAACCAGUUAAUAAAUGGAUAAUGCCUAUUCAUCCUUCUGCUGACUUUACAGAGUGGUUUUCACGUCUGCCUGUCAACUAACCAGGCUUGACUGAUAGAGAUGUAAACCUAGCUGGGUUUUUGCCUUCGUCCAGUAAAAUCUGACCUGCACUUGCUGUCCUUGCGCAUCAGUGCUGGUCGUCAUUCAGAUAGUUACAGGUGAGGUUCAUAUGUUUUUACAGACUGACACGAUGGCGGCAAAAUACAUAGGAUGACCCACAGCUUAUGAAAAUUAUUUUGAAGUGCUUAACUGCAUGAUUAAUGUUUGAAGCAGCAGCUUGUGUUUCUGAAGACCUCUGUGAGGAUUUGAGCAGCCCUGUGGUGUGGUCGUCAAACCCAUGUACCUUGAAAAGCCAAAAAAACUCAAAUAGAAGUACUGCACUUCACUGUGAAACUUGGCCUCUUGGUGAACUGGAGAACUGGCCUCUUGGUGAUACGAUAAGAGCAGAGCUUAAUUGUGCUGCUAUAUCAAUUUAUGUCCUGCUGUUGGCAUCCCUCUCUGGGGAAGAGGGAUGAGGCCACAGGUAGGCAUCCUGCCUCCAGUGUUUAGUAUCAUGGGCCAUCAUGAGCAUAAAUAAACCACAGCAUGACUAACCUCUCUACCUAAUA
rnacentral:lncRNA from 1 species